GUGAAUAUAGCUUAAUUGGUAGAGCUCUGGAUUGUGAUUCCAGUGGUUGUGGGUUCGAUUCCCAUUAUUCACC
rnacentral:tRNA from 1 species